rnacentral:rRNA from 1 species
UACGGAGGGUGCAAGCGUUAUCCGGAUUCACUGGGUUUAAAGGGAGCGUAGGUGGGUUGGUAAGUCAGUGGUGAAAUCCCCGAGCUUAACUUGGGAACUGCCAUUGAUACUAUCAGUCUUGAAUACUGUGGAGGUUAGCGGAAUAUGUCAUGUAGCGGUGAAAUGCUUAGAUAUGACAUAGAACACCAAUUGCGAAGGCAGCUGGCUACACAAUUUAUUGACACUGAGGCUCGAAAGCGUGGGGAUCAAACAGG